GAUGAAGGCCUUCGGGUCGUAAAGCCCUUUUGAGAGGGAAGAUGAUGACGGUACCUCUCGAAUAAGCCACGGCUAACUACGUGCCAGCAGCCGCGGUAAUACGUAGGUGGCAAGCGUUGUCCGGAUUUACUGGGCGUAAAGGGCGUGCAGGCGGUUUGUUAAGUCUAGGGUGAAAGCUCCCGGCUCAACUGGGAGAGGUCCUUGGAUACUGGCAGACUUGAGGAGGGUAGAGGAGAGUGGAAUUCCCGGUGUAGUGGUGAUAUGCGUAGAUAUCGGGAGGAACACCAGUGGCGAAGGCGGCUCUCUGGGCCCUACCUGACGCUGAGACGCGAAAGCGUGGGGAGCGAACCGGAUUAGAUACCCGGGUAGUCCACGCCGUAAACUAUGAACACUAGGUGUGGGGGGUAUCGACCCCCUCCGUGCCGAAGCUAACGCAAUAAGUGUUCCGCCUGGGGAGUACGGCCGCAAGGCUA
rnacentral:rRNA from 1 species